rnacentral:sRNA from 2 species
GCACCUCAUAAAACGGGUGCCGGGCGUGGAAACCCGAAAUCAUUCACGGCGCAUAACCGCGCUCAGGCGGUUUUUUU